rnacentral:rRNA from 1 species
AUACGGAGGAUCCGAGCGUUAUCCGGAUUUAUUGGGUUUAAAGGGAGCGUAGGCGGAUUAUUAAGUCAGUUGUGAAAGUUUGCGGCUCGACCGUAAAAUUGCAGUUGAUACUGGUAGUCUUGAGUGCUGGAGAGGUAGGCGGAAUUCCCGGUGUAGCGGUGAAAUGCGUAGAUAUCACGAAAAACUCCGAUUGCGAAGGCAGCUCACUGGACUGCAACUGACACUGAUGCUCGAAAGUGUGGGUAUCAAACAGGAUUAGAUACCCUGGUAGUCCACACAGUAAACGAUGAAUACUCGCUGUUUGCGAUAUACAGUAAGCGGCCAAGCGAAAGCAUUAAGUAUUCCACCUGGGGAGUACGCCGGCAACGGUGAAACUCAAAGGAAUUGGCGGGG